rnacentral:rRNA from 1 species
CACGUAGGGGGCAAGCGUUGUCCGGAAUUAUUGGGCGUAAAGAGCUCGUAGGCGGCUCGGUAAGUCAGGUGUCAAAUCCUCAGGCUCAACCUGGGGCUCCACCUGAUACUGCUGUGGCUAGAGUCCGGUAGGGGAGCGUGGAAUUCCUGGUGUAGCGGUGAAAUGCGCAGAUAUCAGGAAGAACACCAAUGGCGAAGGCAGCUCUCUGGGACGGUACUGACGCUGAGACGCGAAAGCGUGGGGAGCGAACAGG